CCAAUAGCGUAUAUUAAAGUUGUUGCAGUUAAAAAGCUCGUAGUUGAAUUUCGGGAUUGGCGCAUCGGUCGUGCCUUACGGGGUAUGAACUGGUGCAGUCAAUUUCUCACCUUCUGGAGAACCGCGAUGUCCUUCAUUGGGUGCCGCGGGGAACCAGGACCUUUACUUUGAAAAAAUUAGAGUGUUUAAAGCAGGCAUUUUUGUUUGACUACAUUAGCAUUGAAUAAUAAAAUAGGACGGCAUGGUUCUAUUUUGUUGGUUUCUAGGACCACCGUAAUGAUUAAUAGGGAUAGUUGGGGGCAUUAGUAUUCAAUUGUCAGAGGUGAAAUUCUUGGAUUUAUUGAAGACUAACUACUGCGAAAGCAUUUGCCAAGGAUGUUUUCAUUAAUCAAGAACGAAAGUUAGGGGAUCGAAGACGAUCAGAUACCGUCGUAGUCUUAACCAUAAACUAUGCCGACUAGGAAUCAGACGAUGUUAAUUUUUUAAUGACUCGUUUGGCACCUUACG
rnacentral:rRNA from 1 species